rnacentral:rRNA from 1 species
CAGCAGCCGCGGUAAUACAGAGGGUGCGAGCGUUAAUCGGAUUUACUGGGCGUAAAGCGUGCGUAGGCGGCUUCUUAAGUCGGAUGUGAAAUCCCUGAGCUUAACUUAGGAAUUGCAUUCGAUACAGGGAAGCUAGAGUAUGGGAGAGGAUGGUAGAAUUCCAGGUGUAGCGGUGAAAUGCGUAGAGAUCUGGAGGAAUACCGAUGGCGAAGGCAGCCAUCUGGCCUAAUACUGACGCUGAGGUACGAAAGCAUGGGGAGCAAACAGGAUUAGAUACCCCGGUAGUCCCUGUCUCUUAUAC